rnacentral:lncRNA from 1 species
GUUGGCUGUGGAUUGUUUCCUCUAGGUGUGGAGGUAGAAGAAGAGCAUGCAGCCCUGCUUACUUUGAAUUUUUUUUUGCCAAACUAAAAGAAGAAAAUCUCUGAAGAAGCUGAAGUGAGAUGCUCUCUAGUUUUUGAAAGUCAACCAGUGACUGCUCGUGGAGGUUGGAAGGGACCUUGGAGGGAGUCCGGUCCAACCCCCUGCUCGGAGCGGGGCUAAGGGACAGCGCGUUGCUCGGAGGGGCUGCCGGGACCCAGGGUGACCCAGGGGUGCACGAGCAGGCUCGCCUGUGCAGCUUAUUUCAAGAUCUUUGUGGGGGGAGGGAAAGGAGAACAUCGUCUACACGUUUGGA